CAUUUAUUACAUAAACGAUCAUCUGGACAAGAGAACAUGGACUUACAUAUUUGGCGCGUGUUG
rnacentral:sRNA from 1 species